CAGCAAUUUUAUGCAGAAAAAAUAUUCACAUACAAAGCAAAGCCAGAAUCAUCUGGCACAUAGCUCACAGGGACAGAUGGUGCCACCUGCAUUCUCGGGCAAGAAUAGUCCCAGCCAGGCUAUGGUGUGAGCACCAUGAAGUCUGGCUUGUUAAGAAAGGAUAUGGCAGAGCAGAAGGGAGAGGACUGCCUGAUCAUAGUGGCCUUCUCCUGAAGUGUGCACUCUGGGUAACAUGGUAUAGAUGCUAACUCCAAAGACAUGGUACAGGUGCUUCCACCACCUGUCUCUGGACAUCUCAAGUCCCUGUUGAGCAUGCACCAUCCCCGCUGCACCUUAUGGGAGACAUCCGUGAAGUGUGUUUGAAAAAAAAACUGCUAGCAAGAUCAUCAUGAGUACAUGUAAUUUCAGGAAUUAAAUGGACCAGGCAAGGCUAUGAAAGCACUUCAGUCCAGAUCCUCAUGUUACUGUCUGUGUACUUGGGUUGAUUGCUCAAGAGUUUCAAUAAAAUCAUGUUAAAUACUAACGAGGUUGGCUGCUGAUGAUUAGGAGCAGAUCUGCCCAAGUGAACUUGUGCAACAUUUCUUUCAGAAAUGGUGAAGCAAAGCUGAUGCUACUAUUAUAAUCUCUGGGUAAGCACUCUUCCCCAUCCUGUUUGUAUUUUCAGACAAAGGAGGAGAGCACUGAUGAGGCUGAAGUGCCAG
ensembl:lncRNA